rnacentral:tRNA from 1 species
GGGCUGGGGCUCAGUGGUAGAGCGCUAGCCUCACACAUGUGAGGCCCUGAGUUCGAUCCUCAGCACCACA